AACGAACGCUGGCGGCGUGCUUAACACAUGCAAGUCGAACGGACCAAGGGGCUUGCUCCUUGGUUAGUGGCGCACGGGUGAGUAACGCGUGGAUAAUCUGCCCGAUGAUCUGGGAUAACAUCUCGAAAGGGGUGCUAAUACCGGAUAAGCCCACGGGAUCUUCGGAUCUUGCGGGAAAAGAGGGGGACCUUCGGGCCUCUUGUCAUCGGAUGAGUCCGCGUACCAUUAGCUAGUUGGCGGGGUAAAGGCCCACCAAGGCGACGAUGGUUAGCUGGUCUGAGAGGAUGAUCAGCCACACUGGAACUGAGACACGGUCCAGACUCCUACGGGAGGCAGCAGUGGGGAAUUUUGCGCAAUGGGGGAAACCCUGACGCAGCAACGCCGCGUGAGUGAUGAAGGCCUUCGGGUCGUAAAGCUCUGUCUAGAGGAAAGAAGUGUAUGGUGGCUAAUAUCUACUGUACUUGACGGUACCUCUGAAGGAAGCACCGGCUAACUCCGUGCCAGCAGCCGCGGUAAUACGGAGGGUGCGAGCGUUGUUCGGAUUUAUUGGGCGUAAAGCGCGUGUAGGCGGUUUCUUAAGUCUGAUGUGAAAGCCCCGGCCUCAACCUGGGAAGUGCAUUGGAUACUGGGAGACUUGAAUACGGGAGAGGGUAGUGGAAUUCCUAGUGUAGGAGUGAAAUCCGUAGAUAUUAGGAGGAACACCGGUGGCGAAGGCGGCUACCUGGACCGAUAUUGACGCUGAGACGCGAAAGCGUGGGUAGCAAACAGGAUUAGAUACCCUGGUAGUCCACGCCGUAAACGAUGAGUACUAGGUGUUGCGGGUAUUGACCCCUGCAGUGCCGCAGCUAACGCAUUAAGUACUCCGCCUGGGAAGUACGGUCGCAAGACUAA
rnacentral:rRNA from 1 species